rnacentral:lncRNA from 1 species
CCGUUUUCUAGGUAUGUGACAUUGUAAAAUUUAAAUGUUUCUGAGAGCCAGUUUUUCAGCUAUAGAGAUAAAAUUUACUAGUUGCAGAGACUGUUAAUGCUCACCAAUAUCCAUGUGUUUUCCUUUUCUUCCUGGGCACAAACUAUAUUUUCAGCUUCCCUUGUAGGUUGGUGUCUUCAUUGCUGACUUCUGGCACUGGAAUGUGGGUGGAAAUAAAGUGCACCACUUCCUGACUUAGCUCCUGAAAAUCUUCCAUGUGCCCUCUUCUUUAGCUGGCUGACUGGAGAGGACUCCAGAGACCUAUGAGAAUGAAUAACUAAGACAGAAGAGGCCUGAAUUAAAGUUUGCAUCUAGGAGAGAGAGAUGAGAUCAAUGAUGUUCAACAGAAAUCUGAUCCAAGCCACAUACUUGAUUUAAAAUUUU